rnacentral:misc_RNA from 1 species
UGCAAUGAUCACAAUUGGAGUUGCUAUUGCCGCCACUGCACCAUAGUUGAUCUUUGCAGUAAAAGAAUUUAAGAAAUUCUCCAAGCGAAAUUCGAAUUUUCUCAUCAGGUUAUGAGUAAAAUUAAACAUAGCUAAUCAAUCCGUAUUUUCACGAUUUGCCUAUAAAAUGGAAACUCUUUCCUAAAGGAAGGACAUCUCCAAAUUCACGAGAGGAGAUGAUGAAGCUAGUUUCCAAAACUUGAAAGAACUUAUAGUUGCGAAUUGAGGGUGAACAUUGAGGAUUGCAACAGAAGCUCAUUUAUGGUCGUCAGAUCAAAUUAUGCAUGUUGAUUUUAGUCUUGUUUGAUCGGUAAAGAAACUUCACAUGCGUUUACAAG